rnacentral:lncRNA from 1 species
AAAUCAAGAUUUGAUUAAGAAUAAUUGAUAUUCAGUUUUGAGUUAAAUUCAAUUUAGGAAUAAUGUGAAAGAAACAAAGACUUGGUUUAUUUGGUGGGUAAAGAUUAUGUUUCUGUAGUGAAGAAUAUGAGAAGAGAGAAAAAUAAAUGGGAAGAAAAAGGAAAAUAAAGAAAUAAAAAGAAAAAAAUUAAAUUGUUCAAAAAAAUAAAAGUAGAAUGACUAGUUUAACAAAUGAAAAAUAUAGAAAAACUAUCUUAAAAGAAAUGGAGAAGGGAGGAAAACA